AGUGAACGCUGGCGGUAGGCCUAACACAUGCAAGUCGAACGGCAGCACACUAAGAGCUUGCUCUUACGGGUGGCGAGUGGCGGACGGAUGAGGAAUAUAUCGGACUCUACUUUUUCGUGGGGGAUAACGUAGGGAAACUUACGCUCAUACCGCAUACGACCUACGGGUGAAAGCAGGGGAUCUUCGGACCUUGCGCGAAUGAAUGAGCCGCUGUCGGAUUAGCUAGUUGGGGGGGUAAAGGCCCACCAAGGCGCCGAUCCGUAGCUGGUCUGAGUGAAUGGUAGCCGACACUGGAACGUGGACACCGUCCAGACUCCUACGGGAGGCAGCAGUGGCGAAUAUUGGACAAUAGGCGCAAGCCUGAUCCAGUGGUCCCACGUGGGUGAAGAAGGCCUUCGGGUUGUGAAGACCUUUUGUGGGGUAAGAAAAGCAGCCGGUUAAUACCCCGCUGUUCUGACGGUAACCAGAGAAUAAGCACCGGCUAACUUCGUG
rnacentral:rRNA from 1 species